rnacentral:rRNA from 1 species
GGCGGACGGGUGAGUAACGCGUGGGCAACCUGCCUUUCACAGAGGGAUAGCCAAAGGAAACUUUGAUUAAAACCUCAUAAAGCUGGAAUAGUGCAUAAUAUACCAGCCAAAGAUUUAUCGGUGAAAGAUGGGCCCGCGUCUGAUUAGCUAGUUGGUGGGGUAACGGCUCACCAAGGCGACGAUCAGUAGCCGACCUGAGAGGGUGAUCGGCCACAUUGGAACUGAGACACGGUCCAAACUCC